rnacentral:rRNA from 1 species
AUUGAACGCUGGCGGCAGGCCUAACACAUGCAAGUCGAGCGAGCGGCGGACGGGUGAGGAAUGUAUGGGGACUGCCCGAUAGAGGGGGAGAACGACUGGAAACGGUGGCUAAUACCGCAUACUGUUGGAUAACCCAUAUGGGACUUGCUAGUAGGUAAGGUAAUGGCUUACCUAGGCGACGAUCCCUUGCUGGUCUGAGAGGUUGAUCAGCCACACUUAGACUGGGACACGGCCCAGACUCCUCCGGAGGCCGCAGUGGGGCAUAUUGCACCAUGGGCGCAAGCCUGAUGCAGCCAUGCCUCGUGUAUGAAGAAGGCCCUAGGGUUGUAAAGUACUUUCAGUCGGGAGGCGUUCCCGACAUAAGAAGCACCGGCUAACUCCGUGCCAGCAGCCGCGGUAAUCC